rnacentral:rRNA from 1 species
UAGGGGUGAAAGGCCAAUCAAACUCCGUGAUAGCUGGUUCUCCCCGAAAUGCAUUUAGGUGCAGCGUUGUGUGGUUCCUGUUGGAGGUAGAGCUACUGGAUGGCCGAUGGGCCCUGUGGGUUACUGACGUCAGCCAAACUCCGAAUGCCAAUAGGGUUGAGCAUGGCAGUGAGACUGCGGGGGAUAAGCUUCGUAGUCGAGAGGGAAACAGCCCAGAUCAUCAGCUAAGGCCCCUAAGUGUGCGCUAAGUGGGAAAGGAUGUGGAGUCGCGGUGACAACCAGGAGGUUGGCUUAGAAGCAGCCAUCCUUGAAAGAGUGCGUAAUAGCUCACUGGUCAAGUGAUUUCGCGCCGACAAUGUAGCGGGGCUUAAGCGUACCGCCGAAGCUGUGGCAGCAACACGUAUGCUGGCGUCAUUGAAUGAUUGUUGGUGUGUUGUUGGGUAGGGGAGCGUCCUGCAUGAGGUGAAGCCUGGGGGGAACCUCUGGUGGAUUGUGUGGGAGUGAGAAUGCAGGCAUGAGUAGCGAAUCUGCGGUGAGAAUCCGCAGCGCCGAUUGACUAAGGGUUCCAGGGCUAGGUUUAUCCGCCCUGGGUUAGUCGGGUCCUAAGGCGAGGCCGACAGGCGUAGUCGAUGGAUAACCAGUUGAUAUUCUGGUACCGCCUAGCAACCGUCCAAUACCGAGAUCAUCAUGCUAACCAAUUUUGCCGGCCAAUGCCUGUGUCUUUCGGGAUGCGGGUGGCGGUUGGUCUUGGGACCCGGUGGUGGAGGUAAGCGUAUUAACAGGGGUGACGCAGAAAGGUAGCUGCAGUGCGCCGGUGGUUUGGCGUAUUUAAGGUUGUGGCCCGUCUUCUAGGUAAAUCCGGGAGACUUGUGGGUGAGAACUGAUGAGGGACGCACGUGUGUGUGGACUUGUGGUGAUCCUAUGCUGCCGAGAAAAGCCUCGACGCGAGGGGGCAAGGCGCCCGUACCCUAAACCGACUCAGGUGGUCAGGUAGAGUAUACCGAGGCGUUCGAGUGAAUCAUGGUCAAGGAACUCGGCAAAAUUCCUCCGUAACUUCGGGAGAAGGAGGACCCUUUAGCUUCCCAGCGCCGCGCGUGCUGGUGGGGCCGGGGGGUCGCAGAGAAUAGGGAGAAGCGACUGUUUAUCAAAAACACAGGUGCGUGCGAAGCCGUAAGGCGAUGUAUACGCACUGACGCCUGCCCGGUGCUGGAAGGUUAAGAGGAACCGUCAACAUCCCUUGUGGGUGUGAAGCGGUGAAUUUAAGCCCCAGUAAACGGCGGUGGUAACUAUAACCAUCCUAAGGUAGCGAAAUUCCUUGUCGGGUAAGUUCCGACCUGCACGAAUGGCGUAACGACUUCCCCGCUGUCUCAACCAUGAGCUCGGCGAAAUUGCAGUACGAGUAAAGAUGCUCGUUUCGCGCAGAAGGACGGAAAGACCCCGGGACCUUUACUAUAGCUUGGUAUUGGUGUUCGCUUGUGCUUGUGUAGGAUAGGUGGGAGACUGUGAAGCUGCGGCGCCAGCCGUGGUGGAGUCGUCGUUGAAAUACCAUUCUGGUUCAAGCGGUCACCUCAACCUUGGCCCGUGAUCCGGGUUGGGGACAGUGCCUGGUGGGUAGUUUAACUGGGGCGGUUGCCUCCUAAAAUGUAACGGAGGCGCUCAAAGGUUCCCUCAGCCUGGUUGGUAAUCAGGUGGCGAGUGCAAGUGUACAAGGGAGCUUGACUGUGAGACCGACGGGUCGAGCAGGUGCGAAAGCAGGAACUAGUGAUCCGGCCAUGGCACGUGGGUGCGUGGUCGCUCAACGGAUAAAAGGUACCCCGGGGAUAACAGGCUGAUCUUGCCCAAGAGUCCAUAUCGACGGCAUGGUUUGGCACCUCGAUGUCGGCUCGUCGCAUCCUGGGGCUGGAGUCGGUCCCAAGGGUUGGGCUGUUCGCCCAUUAAAGCGGUACGCGAGCUGGGUUCAGAACGUCGUGAGACAGUUCGGUCCCUAUCCUCUGUGCGCGUAGGAAACUUGAAAAGGGCCGUCCCUAGUACGAGAGGACCGGGAUGGACGAACCUCUGGUGUGCCAGUUGUACCGCCAGGUGCAUGGCUGGUUGGCUACGUUCGGGAAAGAUAACCGCUGAAAGCAUCUAAGCGGGAAACUUGCUUUGAGAUGAGGUUUCCACACCCCCCUGUGGGGUGGAAGGCCCCCGGCAGACUACCGGGUUGAUAGGCCAGAGGUGGAAGCACCGCGAGGUGCUCGUGAGCCGACUGGUACUAAUGGGCCGACACUAAACACAC